rnacentral:rRNA from 1 species
CUGAAUAUACCGGUUCUCGUUAGAUCACCGAAGUCAAGCAUCAUUGGGCGCGGUCAGUACUUGGGUGGGUGACCACCUGGGAACGCCACGUGCCGUU